rnacentral:rRNA from 1 species
UACACACCGCCCGUCACACCAUGGAGUUGGUUCGACCUUAAGCCGGUGCGCGAACUCGCAAGAGACGCAGCCGACCACGGUCGGGUUAGCGACUGGGGUG